rnacentral:lncRNA from 1 species
GACAAUGCUGGAAAAAAAAAACACGUCCAAAAGGUCAGAGUGGGUUUUUAAGAGAAACAAAAGGUUGGAUUUAAAUGGUUUAAAUGGUUAAAUUUAACCAUUUAAUCAUUAACUCAAGGUUAAAUUUAACCAUUUUCACGCAGAAAUGACACAACUGAACACCUUACUUUUUGGGAGGUGGGGGACUAAGAAGUGAAUAAAACCCAACAAAACACAAAAAAAGAGGCUUUGUGGCGUGCCGGGGAGGAAGGGCUUUUUCUUUUUUUUUCAUUUUUUGGCAUUUUGGGGGGAUUAUUUCUUUUUGGCCCCCCCGCGGAAGCGUCGCAGUGCGGCACUGACGUGGCUCAGGCUUUAUAAAGCCCCCGCGACGCCCGGGCAGCACAGGCAGGGAGGCAGCAGCUGGGGAGCCAAAAAUGCCAAAAUUUCCCCCCGCCGGGGCAGAUUUUGCUCGAGGAAGACAGCCAGGGAGAAAAUUUAAUCCCUAAAAUACCCUAAAAUACCAUAAUUGGGUAUUUUAGAGGAGCUAAAGCGCUUGAUUUUAAGAUGAAAAAAGCUCUCGAAGCUUUUCUCGCUUGAAAGAAGCUCUUAAAGCUCUUGGCUUUAAAAGAAAAAAAGCCCCCCCUGAGAGGGUUUUUAGGAGGAAAAUGGGAAGAUUUCGGAAAGAAGAGCCCGGAGGAGCGCAGGCGGCCGCGGGCCCGGGAGGGUGAGCGGAGAUUUUUUGGUGCAGGAUCAGGGGAAAUUGGGGCUUUUCACAAGCCGCCAGCCGGAGGGUGUGGAGCCGAAGAGGAGGAGGAGGAAAAAAAAAAAAAAAAGGAGAAAAAAGGACAUUUUGGUUAAAAGCUGCUGGCUGGGAAGGACGCAGGGAGGCGAGAAGGUGGCAGCCAAAAGGCAGCGGAGGAGGAAGCAGAAAAUAGAGCAGAGAAACGGCAAAAAAUAGGCAAAAAGGAGGAGAAAACGGAAAAAUAUGAAAAAAAAAAUGAAGAGGGGAAAGAAUAGAAAAAAGAAGAGGGCAGAAAAAAGAAAAUUAGAAAAAUGAAGAGGGCAGAAAAUAGAAAAAAGAAAAAUAGAAAAAAGAAAAUUAGAAAAUAGAAAAAAAGAAGAGGGCAGAAAAUAGAAAAAAAGAAAUAGAAAAUAGAAAAGAAAGAAGAAUAGAAAAAAGAAAAUAGAAAAUUGAAAAAAAAUAGAAAAUAGAAAAAAGAAGAAUAGAAAAAAGAAACAUAGAAAAAACGAAGAGGGCAGAAAAUAGAAAAAAGAAAAUUAGAAAAUAGAAAAAAGAAGAGGUCAGAAAAUAGAAAAAAAAAAGAAAAUAGAAAAAACGAAGAGAUCAGAAAAUAGAAAAAUAGAAACGUUGAAGAGGUCAGAAAAUAGAAAAAAGAAAAAUAGAAAAUAGAAAAAAGAAGAGGUCAGAAAAUAGAAAAAAAAAGAAAACAGAAAAAAAGAAAAUAGAAAAAAGAAAAUGGAAAAAAAAUAGAAAAUAGAGAAGAAAAGAAAAUAGAAGAGACUAGAAAAGGAAAAUAGAACAUAGAAAAAAAAAGAAAAUAGAAAAAGGGGAAAAUAGAACAAGAAAAUACAAGGAAAAAAAGGGCAGAAAAUUGCAUUUAAACGUUUGAGGAGAAAAUAGGAAAAAAAAGAGAAAAAAAAAAAAAACAGAGGAGAAACUAGGAGCAGCCAGUGGAAAUUGGUGAAAUUGAGGAAAACGGGAAAAAAAAGGAGCUAGAAGAGGAGAAGAGGCGCUGGAGGAUGGAGAGGAGAGAAAUUGAGGAAGAAAACCAGAGGAAAUUGGUGAAGAGAGGAGGAAAUAGGAGCCUAGAAGAGGAGAAAAAGGCGAAAAUAGAGGAAAUAGAAGAAAAUAGAGGAAAUAGAAGAAAAUAGAGAAAAUA